UACAGAGGGUGCAAGCGUUGUUCGGAAUUACUGGGCGUAAAGCGUGCGCAGGCGGUUCGUUGUGUCGGCGGUGAAAGCCCCGGGCUUAACCUGGGAAUGGCCGUCGAAACUGGCGAACUGGAGUGUGGCAGAGGGGGUGGAAUUCCGCGUGUAGCAGUGAAAUGCGUAGAGAUGCGGAGGAACACCGAUGGCGAAGGCAGCCCCUGGGCUGACACUGACGCUCAGGCAC
rnacentral:rRNA from 1 species